rnacentral:rRNA from 1 species
GGGUGAGUAACACGUGGGCAAUCUGCCCUAAAGACUGGGAUACCACUUGGAAACAGGUGCUAAUACCGGAUAACAACAUGAAUCGCAUGAUUCAAGUUUGAAAGGCGGCGCAAGCUGUCACUUUAGGAUGAGCCCGCGGCGCAUUAGCUAGUUGGUGGGGUAAAGGCCUACCAAGGCAAUGAUGCGUAGCCGAGUUGAGAGACUGAUCGGCCACAUUGGGACUGAGACACGGCCCAAACUCCUACGGGAGGCAGCAGUAGGGAAUCUUCCACAAUGGACGCAAGUCUGAUGGAGCAACGCCGCGUGAGUGAAGAAGGUUUUCGGAUCGUAAAGCUCUGUUGUUGGUGAAGAAGGAUAGAGGCAGUAACUGGUCUUUAUUUGACGGUAAUCAACCAGAAAGUCACGGCUAACUACGUGCCAG